AACGAACGCUAGCGGCGUGCCUAACACAUGCAAGUCGUACGAGAAAUCCCGGGCAACUGGGAGAGUAAAGUGGCGCACGGGUGAGUAACGCGUGGGUAAUCUACCUUGGAGUUCGGAAUAACACCUCGAAAGGGGUGCUAAUACCGGAUAUCGUCCCAGGGGUUUCGACUCCGGGGAUGAAAGAUGGCUGAGGCUUGCAAGCUAUUGCUCCAAGAUGAGCCCGCGUACCAUUAGCUAGUUGGUGGGGUAACGGCCCACCAAGGCAAUGAUGGUUAGCUGGUCUGAGAGGAUGACCAGCCACACUGGAACUGAGAUACGGUCCAGACUCCUACGGGAGGCAG
rnacentral:rRNA from 1 species